CUCCUCCCCUAUAAAAAGUCGCCAGGAGCCCUGCUUUUCCGAACAGAAACAUACACACCGGAUCAGCAGCGGAGAAGAGCUGAGUUUUACGUAAGCUGAAGAGAGCAGAGGAAAGAAAGGAAGAAGGGGAAAAGAUAGUGCAGUAGUAGGCAGCCAUGGGAUUCUGCUGUGGGCCUUCCGAUGUCAAGGUGCUCCCAAAUAACACCUGCUUGUCGUCAGCGUCCUCCUCAUCGUCAUCGCCUGCUAAAGAUUCGGGCGACGGUGGCAAGAAGAAGCAGCGGCAAGGUGUGAAGAAGGAGCAGGGGAGGGAGAAGAAGAAGAGCAAUCUUGACCGGGCCGCCAUGGCGACGCCCCGCCUCCCAUUCCAUUCUCGGCCGGGUCUCAUGUAAUGUUAACCGGGAACAGUACCAUGCAUGCAUAAGAUCCCGUGUGUUCUCCUAUUAGCUUACGGCGAAGGUUGGAGCUGAGGAUUGAAUAGUUUCGGCUGCUCGGUUGAAGUUGUGAGAUUUCACUGUCGUCGCAUGUUCUAUUUAUUCAUUGAUUUGCUGGUUGUAUUCCAUGAUUGAAAUUGCGGGUGUUUUCUGCCAAUUUACAAGAGAUGAGCUUCAUUGUCAUCAGGAUACUAUUUGUUUCCCUACUUCCUAUCUUGGAUUAUUAAUAUUCCCUCAUUUUUUGGGGGAAUAUAUUCCCCUACUUGACUCGGUUCACUAGUUUACCCAAAUGAUAACGGCCACACGUGAGGCACGAAGCAAUUUCGCUCAUAUGUUUUCUUAUGGCAACUUUAGUUACAAGAGGAUGACAACUUUAAUUGUGAACCGAGGAACACCUCCUGC
rnacentral:rRNA from 1 species